AUGGUUGCUUUUUCUGUACCAUGUGGUGAGGGGGAGAGAAAGAGAAAGGGAAAGCUAGGCUCUUGUUUAUUUACUUUCCAAUGGAAAGACCUCAGCUGUUACUACUUAGCAUUGCAAUUCCACAUUAUCUGGAGGAGAUCGGCUGCUGGAGGUUGGAAUGGGGAUACCCUCCCUACAUGGCCAGCAGAAAGGUCUGUUGCUUCCUGCAGCCUCCUUAUGUACUGUGUAGAGGGGCCACGUGCAACACCGUCAAGCCCAAGCCCACAGAGGAUUGAAUGCUCAGCAGCUCUGGACAACAAGGCAUGGUGUGACCCUGCGCCUGCUGAGAACACCAGGACAAGCCAGAGCGGCCUCUGGAAACCACAGAUCUCACUCCAUGCGUCCAUUUCUCUCUCAGGGGAGAGCUAUUUGUGGGUAGACAGCUUUGUAGGAGGGAAAAUAAACAAAACCAACCCCAAAACCACAUUUUGGUCUGAAAAGGUAACUCUGCCUCCAGAAAACAUAACAUCUUGCUGCCUCCAGAAACACACAGCCUGACCCAAACUGGCAAGUACAAAGCAAAGAAAUUUCAGCAGCUGCACUGACAUUCCCCACAGCUUGCCGCAUUCCUCCCACAGGUGGGCAGUUUCCUUUUUAUUGUGGGUUCAGACCUCAUUUCAACUUUCCAAUGGCAGGACCUGCUAUUUAACGUCACAUUCAUCUGCCCCUCUCUCAACCUUCCUUUUUUUUAGCUUUGCAGAAGCAAUUAUUAAACAUGCAUUUAGUCGUGGGGAAAGCUGAACGGCAGUGAAUCUAUUCACCAAGGAGACACACGCUGUGCACUCUGGCCUUUGCUGAAUUGCAGCUGUGCCUGCUUUUGGAGUGCUUCCAGAAGUGCCCUGGAAAGCAAAUACUGAGCAAAAGUGGGAGAACAAUCAGAGCCUUCCUUUUCUCCCAUCCACUGGUUACACCAUCACUAGACCAUACUACAAUUAUACAGCAGGUGAGAUUAUAGUUAAUUAAGAAUUUGAGAGCAGACCUCCUGUAGCCAUGCAGAGAAGCUGUCCAUGUGAUGACAGGAAACAAAGGAUAUGUGAAGAGGCACAUCUCCUCUUGGCUGCUAGUACAGACAGAUGAACACAAGCCUGCAGGGGUAGUUCAGACAUAGCUGUGGGCCAGAGACUGAAGACAGGUGUUUAUGCUGAUUUUCUUGCUGUUGGCUUGUGCCAAGGCUGCUAUGAGAAAAGUGGUCAGCUUCCCCUAUUGCCUUCUACUUCUUUCCUCAGUAGGUGUCAUGGCUACGGGGGGCAAAAACUGCCUGCAGGAAGUUAAACAUAUUUAUACUACUUCCAUGUUUAUCCUUUGGUGAAAUGAAUAAUCCUCAUAUUUAUCUUUGCCAGUUUUGUAAGCUACAGAAAUACACGAUCUACCAGCUCUUAGAAAGUCUUGUCCAGAACUUGGUUUAUAGACUGCUCCAAGAGAAACAACCUCAUACCUGCAAUGGGUAUGGACUUGCAAAAUGUGCUUUUUCUCC
rnacentral:lncRNA from 1 species